rnacentral:rRNA from 1 species
ACGGAAGGCAGCAGUGGGGGAUAUUGCGCAAUGGGGGCAACCCUGACGCAGCAACGCCGCGUGAAGGAUGAAGGUUUUCGGAUUGUAAACUUCUUUUAAGUGGGACGACAAUGACGGUACCACUUGAAUAAGCUCCGGCUAACUACGUGCCAGCAGCCGCGGUAAUACGUAGGGAGCAAGCGUUAUCCGGAUUUACUGGGUGUAAAGGGCGUGUAGGCGGGACAUCAAGUCAGAUGUGAAAGCACGAGGCUCAACUUCGUGUCUGCAUUUGAAACUGACGUUCUUGAGUGUUGGAGAGGCUAACGGAACUCCUAGUGUAGCGGUGAAAUGCGUAGAUAUUAGGAAGAACACCAGUGGCGAAGGCGGUUAGCUGGACAAUAACUGACGCUGAGGCGCGAAAGUGUGGGGAGCAAACAGGAUUAGAUACCCUGGUA